UACGGAGGAUGCGAGCGUUAUCCGGAUUUAUUGGGUUUAAAGGGUGCGUAGGCGGACUGUCAAGUCAGCGGUAAAAUACGGGGGCUCAACCCCCGCCCGCCGUUGAAACUGACGGUCUUGAGUGGGCGAGAAGUAUGCGGAAUGCGUGGUGUAGCGGUGAAAUGCAUAGAUAUCACGCAGAACUCCGAUUGCGAAGGCAGCAUACCGGCGCCCAACUGACGCUGAAGCACGAAAGCGUGGGUAUCGAACAGG
rnacentral:rRNA from 1 species